UCUCUUUCACUCUUAGAUCUCUCUCCCUCAACUCUCACUCUCAUCUCUCCCCUCAUAACUCUCUCCUCUCUUUUCCCCUCGCUGCACCUUAUCUACCCCAAGGACCAUCACCCACAUAUACACACCCACACACACGCUAACUCUCCCUCGGACCUCCCUCGUUCCUCUUCUCCCUCUACAAUUACAAGGACCGAGACCACCCACAUUGUUUUUUUAGUGCGUUCCUUGUCUCUCCGGGCAAGGUAUGCCACGAGAAUGCCCUAAAUCUUGUACAUACAUCUUUGUGGUUCGAUUUUGCACAUGUGUGUGUAUUUUGGACUGGUUUAGGACAAAAGAUAACUCGGGGGAAUGCUUGCCUAGUUUUCCGACGAAUACUGAAGGUUUGCAGGCAUUUUCCAACCACAUUUCGGCCACGCCUGGCCCCGAGGAAGGUGCAUUUGUUAGCGGCGUUUCCAUAUUUGCUAGUUUGCGUGGCUCUUUGAUGGUGAAGUAUAUGACUUAGAAUUAAGGCGUAAAAUUUCGACAUCAAGGCACUCCCGCAUCAGCACCUUCGAGUCAUUUCGGUGUAGGAGCCAUCAUCUUGUUCAUUCAAAUUUUAUAUUAUUUCCUUUUUAGUAUCUCAGUGUAGUUGUAUGUUUUGAACACAUUCCUCAUAUAUAUAAUCAUUGUAUUUAAAUUAAUACUAUUUUAGUCAUAUUCAUUCUACACAUGCAUGUUAGUAUGGAUUCGUCACAUUCAGGUGUCGGCCAGUAUGUGCCUACCCUGAUGUUUGGGAGGAUAUUAGGGUCGAGCGUGUCAAAAUAAGGACUUAGUAAGGUUUUAAAAGACUUUUUAAAGUGGUAGAUUUGUCCUUAUUCGUUAAAUUUGUUUAAUCAAUCUACUAUAACAAUAUAUAAACGGUUUAUAAUGCAAUAUUUGAUUUAGAUUCGUAUUCAAACUAAAUUAGCCUCUUGCUAUACGUCAAGCAUGCAAUAAACUCUAAUUUAUUGAAUACUUUUUCUUAGCUUUUUUUUUUUGUUUCACCACACAAACAUGAACAAAUACCAAAAGACUCAUAUGGAGAAUAUGUUUUCCAUAUUUUAUUUGUUAUCCGCGUUUGUUGUUGUAAUGCUUCAAAUAUACUCAACAAUAGUUCGCGACUUAAUGAAUUCAAUGUGACUUUCUUUCAAAGAGUAUUUAUCAAAUAUAGCCAAAUAUUAGUCUCUAAUUUCAAAAAUAUCU